AACGUAGGACGCAAGCGUUAUCCGGAGUUACUGGGCGUAAAGGGCAGGCAGGCGGGUCGAUAAGUCGGAUGUGAAUCUCCCUGGCUUAACCGGGAGAGUGCAUUUGAGACUGUCAACCUGGAGGGCAGCAGAGGAGCGUGGAAUUCCGGGUGGAGUGGUGAAAUGGCGUAGAGAUCGGAGGACACCAGAGGCGAAAGCGGCGACUCUGGGCUGC
rnacentral:rRNA from 1 species